UCCUACGGGACGCAGCAGUGGGGAAUUUUGCGCAAUGGGCGAAAGCCUGACGCAGCAACGCCGCGUGAGUGAUGAAGGCUUUCGGGUCGUAAAGCUCUGUCAAGGGGAAAGAAGUGUAUUGCGGUUAAUACCCGUGAUACUUGACGGUACCCCUAAAGGAAGCACCGGCUAACUCCGUGCCAGCAGCCGCGGUAAUACGGAGGGUGCGAGCGUUGUUCGGAAUUAUUGGGCGUAAAGCGCGUGUAGGCGGUUUAUUAAGUCUGAUGUGAAAGCCCCGGGCUCAACCUGGGAAGUGCAUUGGAUACUGGUAGACUUGAGUACGGGAGAGGGCAGUGGAAUUCCCAGUGUAGGAGUGAAAUCCGUAGAUAUUGGGAGGAACACCGGUGGCGAAGGCGGCUGCCUGGACCGAUACUGACGCUGAGACGCGAAAGCGUGGGUAGCAAACAGGAUUAGAUACCCGGGUAGUCCA
rnacentral:rRNA from 1 species